CAAAGAACGGACACAGCCACUGACAGUUGUUCGUUGGAAGAAGCUGGUUGUAUGUGCCCGUAAGUGGCUAGAAAUUGACGGAAUCGACCGCGCGUUGGCAGAGGCUGUAUGUGUACACGAUGAGUCCGCCAGAAAUAACAAUGACGAUUCCACGUCAACCCUGGCUUGUUCAGAAGACUCUUUCUGGCUUCUUGGGGGGAAAAAAACUUGGUUUUCAUCCAACUUGUUAUAGGCGUUUCAUCGAUAAGAAACGAAUUGCCAGUGCUGAAAAACUAGCAGAAAAACGGGGAGCAUAUGGUGGUGACAACAAUGGUUCUGAUUCUGAUCACGAGUCUUCCACAACCACGUCCACGACAAGCCGGCCACCAUUGUCAAAACAGUUGAGAUCCACGACUAAAUCAUUGAGGUCUGGCAAUGUACUACCUGCUGUCUGUAUAAUUUGCAAGAGGGCUGACCGCUUUGUGAAAGAAGGACACAAGACAAAGAAAGAUAAAAUGGUCCAAGCAGAAACUAUAAAUGCUGGGAGUUUGGUUAAAGCAACUGAACUGCAAACGGAUGAAUCCAUCCUCAAGGUUGUAAGUGGAAAAGAUGCUACAAAGAAUAUACAAGAUUUCUGGGGGCUACAACAAGUGAUGAAAGGAUGCCAGAAGCCUGGGAGUAUGCCACUGUGUACACAGAAUGAAUUUUGUGAAUUUGGGCACAGUUGAUUAAAAAACAAGAAAUCUUCAGGAUGAAAAAGCUCUCUUCCCUGUUCCAGAAAAUGAUACGAGAACACCAUGGUCAAGGAAGUGACAGAUCAGAUCUUCUGAAGAAAAGACUGAGGCAAGACUUUUCCCAACUAAAUUUCUACAAGCCUACGAGGAAAAACCUGAGUGAAAUGGUAUUUACAGAAGCUACAGGACUUCUCAACAAGGGUUCAUCAACUGAACCUGAGUCAUCAGGAUCGCAAGAGACUUUGUCGAGUGGUGGAGAGACAGUUCAGGAAAGUGGUACAUAUGCAGCACAAUGAGGCUGUACCAGAACCAUUUAUAGUGCAGGUAUAACUCUUAAACAAGCAGUUAAGAGUGCCCCUAACAUGAGUGCCAAUUGGCCUCCUACAUCUGAGGAUCUAAAUAUUUCCUCAGCUAGAAAGAUUGGGCCAAUUGAACUGUAUAAUUCACUUGCUUGGUGCAUAGGUGUAAGUGAUGAGUUGACAUUAUCUAACAUGGUUAAUGUUAAUUUUAAUAAAAGUCAUUGUUUAAAAACAGAAA